rnacentral:rRNA from 1 species
GACGAACGCUGGCGGCGCGCUUAACACAUGCAAGUCGAGCGAGAACCAGUCCUUCGGGACUGGGGAAAGCGGCGAACGGGUGAGUAUCACGUGGGUAAUCUGCCCUCGGCACUGGGAUAGCCCGGGGAAACCCGGAUUAAUACCGGAUAGCCUCUCGAGCCUUCGGGCUCGUCAGAAAAGGUGGCUUCGGCUUCCGGCUGCGGAUGAGCCCGCGGCGGAUUAGCUUGUUGGUGGGGUAAUGGCUCACCGAGGCGACGAUCCGUAGCUGGUCUGAGAGGACGAUCAGCCACACUGGGACUGAGACACGGCCCAGACUCCUACGGGAGGCAGCAGUGGGGAAUCUUGCGCAAUGGGCGAAAGCCUGACGCAGCGACGCCGCGUGCGGGAAGAAGGCCUUCGGGUUGUAAACCGCUUUCAGGAGGGACGAAGCCACUCGGGUUAAUAGCCCAGAGGGUGACGGUACCUCCAGAAGAAGCCCCGGCUAACUACGUGCCAGCCGCCGCCGUAAAAC